GAAGAGCUGGAGAAAGUGUCUGGGGAGAGGGAGACUGCUUAGACUGCUGCCCCCGCGACCCGGCCCCGGAUAAGCGGUAGAAGAGGGAUGGAUGGAUGGACGGAUGGAUGGAUAAAUGUUUAAAGAGUCUCCUAUUAUUGAACAAUGGGCCGAGUGCUAAAGACGACACGUAUGCAGCUCUAGACUCCACAGGCUGGGCAGCUGAUGAUGUGUAUCACACACUUGCAAACACUGGGCCGAGUGCUAAAGACGACACGUAUGCAGCUCUAGACUCCACAUGCCGGGCAGCUGAUGAUGUGUAUCACACACUUGCAAUUUCUCAUCCCAGUCCUCCUGCUGACGCAUCCACAUCCUCUGAU